CCCUCCCUCUUUCUGUGGACGGUCUGUAACCGAAGCAGUUCCUCAAAAGGAGAAAGAAAACCCUGUCACUUCUGAUCAGACAAAUCGAACAGCAGAGGAGUUGAGGCAUAACUUUCACCACAACGUGGAUUCAGCUUCAGAACUUCAUUAAGCAGAGAGCUUUGGCAGAGGCAGCGGACAACAUGGAGGUAAAAGAAGCAGCCUCAGUGAAACCCAUCGAUCAGUCCCCCUCUCUGUGUGCUGGUGAGCAGGACUUUGUUGACAGGAGGAAAAGGGUCGUUCUGGAGUCACUCAACAGCCUGGGAAUCAACUGUUCUGCAGUAAGAAAGAAACUGCUCACACACUAACACCAUUUCUGUCCGUCCGUGUCAGCCUGGCAAGCACCCGUCAGGAAGGUGCAUGUAAGGUAGUCACUCUGCUGGUUGGUGGAGUAAAGGAGUUAGGAGGAAGUUUAUGCUUCUUAGUUGUUCCGCUUUGUACCUGUUGUUGCGUUUUGCUGUUUGUCAUGCCUGAGUGAGUUGUACCUUUGUGCAUUGUCUCUUACUUUAUGCCCUCACGCCACGUCAAAUAUCAUUUCGCCUGUUUUUAUGUAACACACACAUGUCCUCCAUGACUUUGUAUGAUCACUAUUUUUAGGUCUUACAGUAACGUUUGAGCAGACUUUAGACACUCACAGGAACAGAGUACUGCUGAAGCUGUAUGGUUGUAAGGUAAUUAAUACAGUGGUAAGUUAAAAAUGCAUUCAAAGAGGCGCUGCUUGUUUACAGUGAUCCGUUGUGAAUUCAUAGUCCACUGCCUGCUCUGCACCACACACAGACAGAGUUAAGCUGCUUUCAGACAUGCACUGAACUCCAGAGAUCCUGUGGACUUUCUCCACCUUGCCCCCUAAUCUAAAGUCUGCAGAAAGUUCAAAGGAGCCGAUGUAAGAACACAGCAGGAUUCACUGUGAGUGAAUGAUUUUAUAGACCCGACAGAAAACAAGUACACACCAGCGAAAAUGUCAAGGGAGUUUUUGGGCGAUAUGAGCUGACACUGGUGUCGUUGUGUUGUAAACAUGAAAACGUUACAUCCUAUCUCUGCCUGCUGCACCUACCCUCACCUGAACUCUCUGCAGAUUUCCGUGCAGUUGCGAACAUGUUUGAGCAGAGAAACUCCUGCUGGGUUGUUCAGCCUGUUCUGCUUUAGAGAGCAACAGAAGAACAUAGUUGAAAAUUCAGCAGCUGUAAAGACACAUUAUUCAACAGCCUUGCACGGCCACAAUUUUCUCUCAGGAUUUCUUUACAUAACUCAGUCGGACGGACUUAGCUUUUUUGCCUAUUAGGCUCCAGGUUAUUUGUUAUUUCAGAUAAUGCCAUUAUACAACAUGUAUCAUAGUGUGUAGACUAAUAUAUAUACAGUGUAUAUAUAUAUAGAUAUGAAUACAUAUAUAACAUAACAUACAUAUGUGUGUGAGUGCAUGUUUAUGUUAUAAUAGUAAGUAUUUUUCUGAAGAUAUCAUUUAAAAUUUUGCCCUGUUUUUUCUGUUCUUGUUUUUGUUGAUUGGCAUGUCAAAUAAUAUUUGUUUCAUGUAAUUUAGCAAUUUGCUAUAAAGGGUAUAAUGAGGGAAAAUAGCAUGAACAUCCCAACAACCACCGAAAAUUCUAAAUACAGCAAUCCUUUCACUUCCACAUCUCAUUUGAUAUGGAAGGAUGUUUGCAUUGCAAUAUUACAAAUUCUGGGAUCAUAUCUGAAGGAAUUUAGAGUUUAAAUAGCACUAAGAAACCCAGAAGCCAACAGUAACCUCAUAAAUAUCCCA